rnacentral:tRNA from 1 species
GGGCGUUUGGCGCAGUUGGCUAGCGCGCUUCCUUCACACGGAAGAGGUCACAGGUUCAAGUCCUGUAACGCCCA